UCUAUCUCCCAGCAAGGCAACCGGCCUUACAUUUCAACCCUUUUGAUGAUAUAGGAUGCCGCUUCUUUCUGGCUACUUCCUGCUGAAUAGGAGCAGAGUGAGGGAGAAGGGUCAGUUGGCUGGUGCCUCGGUUGGGAGUCGGAAAUAGGGGUGAAAUAGCAUCUGGUUUACAGCCACCCUGGAAAUUUUCUUCAUGUGGGCCUGUAAAAACUUGAGGGAAAAAGGGGCUAGCAUUAACAGAAGACAAACUACGAUAAUGUGAGUGGUAAUAGGGGUUAGCCAGGUUAGCAUGGGGGAUUGCCACCAGUUAAGAGGUGAGACUGAUGCAUUCUGCUUCUUGCGGAGGUCUUCUUGGAGGCAAUAGAGAGUGUUGACAUUUUCUUCUACAAGGCCUGUUUCAUUAAUAUAAUUGCAGCACUGCUCCUGAAGAAACAGACAGGUACCUCCCUUUUCUGCUGUUAGCAGGUCAAGGGCCUGUAGGUUCUGGAGAGUUACCUGUGCCAGUGACGUGAUUUGUCACUGGAGGGAGGCCAGGGAGGUGGCCGACGCUUUGAUAGCCACGUGAAGCUUGUCCUCUAGUUGAGUGGCUGUGGUGACACUGUAGCCUAGGGUGCCGCUUCCCAGCCCAGCUGCCACCAGAGAGGAUGCUAGAGAGAGACCGACAACCAUUGGGAGAAAGACUGCUUGUCUGUCUCGGCGAUUAGGGGAAGGUGGAAGGAGGGAUAGAAGUUCAGCCUGUCUGUAUA